rnacentral:sRNA from 1 species
GCAAAAAGGCAAUGGAAGAGUCACGAUCCUACAGAAAGGAGAGGAAGCAGACAAAGAAGAAAACGGGUCGUGGGUCAGGAUCCAGGUCGAUCCAUAUAAAGAUGAGGAAGCUUCGAGUGCUUAUACCGGGUGGACGAAGAUUGAACCAACCGGAUCUGCUUCUAUCAAAGACUGCUGAUUAUAUUAUGCAUUUGGAGUUGAGGAUUAGGUUUCUCAAAGCCAUCUCCGAUAUCUACUCACUCUCCUAAAGUUGAUUCUUGUUUUUUUCAUUCUUCAUCUUCUUUGAUUCUUCUGGUUAAAUCUAAACCAAUUGAUAUCUGUUUUAUAUCACAAACUGUACGUAGAAGAUUUAUUACUUUGUAUGGAGAUUCUCUUACGAUUUAGUGCUGAAGUUUAUUAGUUGGGCCUCCGUUAGCAAAGAUGAUCAUAUAUGGGCCCUUAUAGCCCAUGAAAUGUUACGUAGAUUCUCUCGAAGGGGUGAUGAGUGAUGACAGGCUUUUUCACUAUUUUUUUUUACCGAUUCCAAAUUCCAAUGUUUACAAUCUCGAA